AAAACUCAAAUUUGUAUGGAGUUGGAACGCCUAGAUUUGCCACUAGGGGCGCUGUUCCAACUGCAUUUAUAUUUGAGUUA
rnacentral:pre_miRNA from 1 species